CCUACGGGUGGCAGCAGUGGGGGAUAUUGCACAAUGGGGGGAACCCUGAUGCAGCGACGCCGCGUGGGUGAAGAAGCGCCUCGGCGCGUAAAGCCCUGUCAGCAGGGAAGAAAAUGACGGUACCUGAAGAAGAAGCCCCGGCUAACUACGUGCCAGCAGCCGCGGUAAUACGUAGGGGGCAAGCGUUAUCCGGAUUUACUGGGUGGAAAGGGGGCGCAGACGGCGAUGCAAGCCAGGAGUGAAAGCCAGGGGCCCAACCCCGGGACUGCUCUUGGAACUGCGUGGCUGGAGUGCAGGAGGGGCAGGCGGGAUUCCUGGUGUAGCGGUGAAAUGCGUAGAUAUCAGGAGGAACACCGGAGGAGAGGGCGGCCUGCUGGACUGCAACUGACGUUGAGGCCCGAAAGCGAGGGGAGCAAACAGGAUUAGACACCCGGGCAGUC
rnacentral:rRNA from 1 species